AUGGAUUCUGCCUGCCUCAUAGGCGCACUAAUAAUAAAAAUGAGGCAGAUGGGGAGCGUUUCAACACAUGACACAUCAAAUCCGUCUCCUGAGAUGUGCCCAUGCCCGUCACAGCCCUGCCUGGGUGGCUUCGAAUGCCGAGCACGGGUCGGGGGCAGGGGAGAGUCACCAUUUCGACCAAGCGCCCAGGGGAUGCCACCGCGGUACCCUCUUUAAGAACAAGGAGCCGGAACCACGGAGCGGCGCCGAGGGCCUCUUCCCCUGGAGGUCAACGGAGAGGACAAGGGGUACAGUGGGAAGUCCUUGGAUCUGAGUCUGGCUGGCCUGGACCUGGGCCUGGCACCCCACCCCCACCCCACUGGUUGUGAGUUAGACAAGACACUUGGAUCACAGGGACACAGUGCCACCUAGACUGGUUUAAGCAAGAAGGGUGACAUUAUGGGAAGCAUAUCGGGGGUCUACUUUGAAGUCUGAAAUCAGUUCUCAGACAGAAAUGUUGACUUGCCAAAGCCAGCGGAUUCCUCUUCUACGUGCAGAUGGCCCCAUGUGCCAGCAGCGUGCGGAAGCGGGGGGGGGGCUGGAGGGACCGGAGAGCCCAGGCUCAUGACCUUAACCUGGAUGGCGAAGCCGGCCGCCCAGAAGUACCUGGAUGCUCUUAGAAGUCAGGAAGGAAACAUCGCAGCUAGCCCCACCUGUCUUUCUUCCACACACCGUAGCUACUUAGAGCCUCGAUGUCCUCGAGCUUUGACUGGGACAUCUCUGAUCACCUCACGGGGGGGGGGGGGGGGGGGCUCCAAAUAUCAGGAAGAAGCACCAUUUCCCUUUGCCGGAGUUUCCCAGGUCACUCUACAAACUGACCCCGUCCUUUCCAGAGUUCUGCAGACCACCUGGAGGGGCUGGCUUUGCCAAGUCCCGGCUCGCUUGUGUUAAGUGAGGUCACCAAGGACCUGCCCCGUGGUGACCUUUUGUUUUUGUCUCUCCAGAUAGCAGCUGGUAGAUUUUUCCAUUAA